rnacentral:rRNA from 1 species
UAAUACGUAGGUGGCAAGCGUUGUCCGGAAUUAUUGGGCGUAAAGCGCGCGCAGGUGGUCCUUUAAGUCUGAUGUGAAAGCCCACGGCUCAACCGUGGAGGGUCAUUGGAAACUGGGGGACUUGAGUGCAGAAGAGGAUAGUGGAAUUCCAAGUGUAGCGGUGAAAUGCGUAGAGAUUUGGAGGAACACCAGUGGCGAAGGCGACUAUCUGGUCUGUAACUGACACUGAGGCGCGAAAGCGUGGGGAGCAAACAGGAUUAGAUACCCUGGUAGUCCACGCCGUAAACGAUGAGUGCUAAGUGUUAGGGGGUUUCCGCCCCUUAGUGCUGCAGCUAACGCAUUAAGCACUCCGCCUGGGGAGUACGGUCGCAAGACUG